GACGAACCGUGCGAACGUUAUUCGGAAUCACUGGGCUUAAAGCGCGUGUAGGCGGGACGGCACGUCUGUCGCUGAAAUCCCCCGGCUUAACCGGGGAACUGGCGGAGAUACGACCGUCCUGGAGGGGCGUAGGGGGACCUGGAACUUCCGGUGGAGCGGUGAAAUGCGUUGAGAUCGGAAGGAACGCCCGUGGCGAAAGCGAGGUCCUGGACGCCUACUGACGCUGAGACGCGAAAGCGUGGGGAGCAAACAGG
rnacentral:rRNA from 1 species